CCUACGGGAGGCAGCAGUGGGGAAUAUUGCACAAUGGGCGCAAGCCUGAUGCAGCCAUGCCGCGUGUGUGAAGAAGGCCUUCGGGUUGUAAAGCACUUUCAGCGGGGAGGAAGGCGUUAAGGUUAAUAACCUUGUCGAUUGACGUUACCCGCAGAAGAAGCACCGGCUAACUCCGUGCCAGCAGCCGUGGUAAUACGGAGGGUGCAAGCGUUAAUCGGAAUUACUGGGCGUAAAGCGCACGCAGGCGGUCUGUCGAGUCGGAUGUGAAAUCCCCGGGCUCAACCUGGGAACUGCAUUCGAAACUGGCAGGCUAGAGUCUUGUAGAGGGGGGUAGAAUUCCAGGUGUAGCGGUGAAAUGCGUAGAGAUCUGGAUGAAUACCGGUGGCGAAGGCGGCCCCCUGGACAAAGACUGACGCUCAGGUGCGAAAGCGUGGGGAGCAAACAGGAUUAGAUACCCGAGUAGUC
rnacentral:rRNA from 1 species